rnacentral:ribozyme from 1 species
AAAAAUAAACCUACUAAUGGUACAAGAAUUGAAGGUAAGUAAGCAGCUGUCAUAUGUUUUAAUGUUAUAUUUUUUUUUUUUUUUUUUUUUUUUUUUU